AAAAAACAACUCAAUUACAAGUGGCCCAAACGCUAAACCCAAUUAGCCAAAACCUAAGCCCAAAUAACCUUAGCCCAAUUACGGAGGCCUAACACUUAGCCUAGCUGAAACAGAAAACCCUAGGGUUUCCAACUCCCCUUCAGCCGCCGACGCUAGCACACAUGUACGCUCCCCCCACUCGCGCUUGCCUCUUCACGCACAGCCUCCGUACAUGCGCGCCCGCGCACCUCCGUACCCGUACCUACACAACAAACCAGCAGCAAACAGAAAGAGAAAAAGAAAAAUAGCAAAAUAGCAACAGAAAAUAAAAAAAUAGAAAAAAU
rnacentral:lncRNA from 1 species